UUAAAUGAAGCCAAAGUAGAGGCAUUUUAUUGUUAAUAAAAUAAUUGAAAUUUAUUUCCAUUUAAA
rnacentral:tRNA from 1 species